AGUGAACGCUGGCGGUAGGCCUAACACAUGCAAGUCGAACGGCAGCACAGUAAGAGCUUGCUCUUACGGGUGGCGAGUGGCGGACGGGUGAGGAAUACAUCGGAAUCUACUUUUUCGUGGGGGAUAACGUAGGGAAACUUACGCUAAUACCGCAUACGACCUACGGGUGAAAGCAGGGGAUCUUCGGACCUUGCGCGAUUGAAUGAGCCGAUGUCGGAUUAGCUAGUUGGCGGGGUAAAGGCCCACCAAGGCGACGAUCCGUAGCUGGUCUGAGAGGAUGAUCAGCCACACUAGAACUGAGACACGGUCCAGACUCCUACGGGAGGCAGCAGUGGGGAAUAUUGGACAAUGGGCGCAAGCCUGAUCCAGCCAUACCGCGUGGGUGAAGAAGGCCUUCGGGUUGUAAAGCCGUUUUGUUGGGAAAGAAAAGCAGCAGGUUAAUACCCCGCUGUUCUGACGGUACCCAAAGAAUAAGCACCGGCUAACUUCGUG
rnacentral:rRNA from 1 species